rnacentral:rRNA from 1 species
ACGCUGGCGGCGUGCCUAACACAUGCAAGUCGUAACGAAUCUACUUUGUAGCAAUAUAGAAGAAGGUGAGUGGCGCACGGGUGAGUAAUACAUAGAUGAUCUGCCUUUCAGACUGGGACAACUCAGGGAAACUUGAGCUAAUACCAGAUAAGACCACAUGAAGGGAUUCACGUGACCAAAGGGUGAGCAAUCUCCUGCUGGAAGAUGAGUCUAUGUCCUAUCAGGUUAGUUGGUGGGGUAACGGCCUACCAAGACGAAGACGGGUAGCCGGCCUGAGAGGGUGAACGGCCACACUGGAACUGAGACACGGUCCAGACUCCUACGGGAGGCAGCAGUGAGGAAUUUUCCGCAAUGGGGCGAAAGCCUGACGGAGCGACGCCGCGUUGAGGGAUGAAGGUUUUCGGAUCGUAAACCUCUUUUAUCAAGGAAAAAGGCUAUAAUGCGAAUAACAUUAUAGUUUGAUUGUACUUAAUGAAUAAGCCCCGGCUAACUACGUGCCAGCCGCCGC